UAAAUUGUCAAAACAAUAUUUUAUUUUUUGAAUAAAUAUCGAGCGUAGCCAUGGGUAAUUGGAUACACCUUGUACAUACAGGCAAUAAGGUAUUAGUAUAAUUUUUCCACAUCGCUUUGUGAAUUCUCAACGAUUUCGAAUUGCCGCAAAGACAAACACAUACGUCGGAUUAAUAUUAUUAUACACUCGACAAAGUCAAAAUAAUUACGCGUCGUCGUCGUCGUCGUCGUUGU